GAUGAACGCUGGCGGCGUGCUUAACACAUGCAAGUCGAACGAAGCACUUUAUUACGAUUUCUUCGGAAUGACGAUUUAGUGACUGAGUGGCGGACGGGUGAGUAACGCGUGGGUAACCUGCCUUAUACAGGGGGAUAACAGUUAGAAAUGACUGCUAAUACCGCAUAAGCGCACAGGAUUGCAUGAUCUGGUGUGAAAAACUCCGGUGGUAUAAGAUGGACCCGCGUCUGAUUAGCUGGUUGGUGAGGUAACGGCCCACCAAGGCGACGAUCAGUAGCCGACCUGAGAGGGUGACCGGCCACAUUGGGACUGAGACACGGCCCAAACUCCUACGGGAGGCAGCAGUGGGGAAUAUUGCACAAUGGGGGAAACCCUGAUGCAGCGACGCCGCGUGAGCGAAGAAGUAUUUCGGUAUGUAAAGCUCUAUCAGCAGGGAAGAAAAAAAUGAACGGUACCUGACUAAGAAGCACCGGCUAAAUACGUGCCAGCAGCCG
rnacentral:rRNA from 1 species